GCCAAGGUGGCGUAAUUGGUAGCCGCACAACACUCAAAAUGUUGCGAGAGUAAUCUCAUGGGAGUUCGAGUCUCCCCCUUGGCA
rnacentral:tRNA from 1 species